ACCAAUUAAGCAAAUUUGCAGAAAACUAUGGAUUUUCAAAUAAUUUUUUUUUCACUUUUGCAAUAAUUUUCAAAUCAAAACAAAACACAAUAGAAAAAAAAAAUCACUCAUGCAUUGACUCUAAAUCAAAAUCUAAUCUAAAAGAAAAAAACUCAACUCAACUCUCAAAUUUACCUGAUAGAGGCAAAAAAGGCAGAGAUUGGCAUUAAACCCAAGUUUCGAUUUGUGAAGAAACCUAAAACAACCAAAUUACCAGUCAUUCAAUCAAAAUUAAUCAAACCCAAGUAUCGAUUUCCAUCAAUAAAGAGAGAGAUACAUACUUGCUCGUUGACGUAAUUUCGAGAUCGGAAAAGAUGUCAGAGUUGUAAGGAUUCUUGUCGAGCAGCUGCUCCACUACAACACCACAUGUUGCUGCUGUAUAACCAAUCUCCACCUCCUUUGAAAGACAAAACCUUUUUAAAUUCGCGACUGGAGGACCAAACCCAAAAAGAAAAUUUUAGGGAUGAGCAAGAAUUCCAGAGAAAAUUUAAACAUUUUCUGCAAAGAUGGUUUUUUUUUUUUUUUUUUUUUUUUUUUUGGAAAAUAAAUAGAGAAAAAAUAGAUUGAAAGUUUUGAGGAGUAGUGGAAAAAGAACCACGGGGAUGCUUCGAAGGUAGGGUGAAGGGAGAAUAGUGUUGUUUCGAAGGUAGGUGAUGGAGAAAGAAACAAGGAGAGAGAAGCGGCGCAUGAAGGAAAUAGGGGAAGAGAAGGCUUUUAUUUAGGGUAGAAAACUAGAGUUGGACAAAACCGACAUCAUAUAUUAAUUCUGUCGGUUAAAACCGACACCACCUUGGGCCCAUUGACAUCACUCUGCCCAAUUCUGCGUGCAAAACUAGCGGGAAAAUUCAUGCCCAAAUAUUUCACGCCAAUUUCGUCAGAUAAAACCGACAUUACGCUAUCCGACACAAGUUUGAAAUAUUAAAAAAAAACAAAAAACAAGUCCUGUCGG
rnacentral:lncRNA from 1 species